CCAAUAGCGUAUAUUAAAGUUGUUGCAGUUAAAAAGCUCGUAGUUGAACUUCGGGGUUCACCCAUUGGUCAGGCUUAAUUGCUUGCACUGGUGAGAUGAGUCUCUACCUUCUGAGGAACUUUCAUGUCAUUAAUUUGGUGUGAUGGGAAAUCAGGACUGUUACUUUGAAAAAAUUAGAGUGUUUAAAGCAGACUAACGUCUGAAUACAUUAGCAUGGAAUAAUGAAAUAGGACGGACUGAUUCUAUUUCGUUGGUUUCUAGGAUCACCGUAAUGAUUAAUAGGGAUAGUUGGGGGCAUUAGUAUUCAAUUGUCAGAGGUGAAAUUCUUGGAUUUAUUGAAGACUAACUACUGCGAAAGCAUUUGCCAAGGAUGUUUUCAUUAAUCAAGAACGAAAGUUAGGGGAUCGAAGACGAUCAGAUACCGUCGUAGUCUUAACCAUAAACUAUGCCGACUAGGGAUCGGACGAAGUUAAUUUUAUAAUGACGCGUUCGGCACCUUACG
rnacentral:misc_RNA from 1 species